GCCGCUGCCGGCCCGGCGGGAGGGGCAGAGCCGCUUGCAGGAGCUCUACGGGGAGCGGCCGCUGCCCGCCGAGCGGGAGCUGCUCCGGAUCCCGCCGUGCCACUUGCUCGGGCUCCGCGGGGAGCGGCCGCUGCCGCUUGGGCGGGACGGGGCCCCCAGCCGCUUGCAGGAGCUCUACGGGGAGCAGCUGCCUCCGGCCGAGUGGGAGAUGCUCAGCAUCCAGCCCUGCAGCUUGCAGCAGCUCCACAGGGAUCAGCAGCCCCCAGGCUCUGACUCGCCAGGUGGGAAAAGAGUUCUAGCCUUGCUUUUCCAAAGGGUCAUGAAAAGUGACCGCUUGAAGUAUUUUUCCACAAUGCUCUGUCAUUGUGAGACAGAAAUUCUCAAGUCUAAUAGGAAGAAGGUCGUAGAAGGCCAAAAGAUUCUGUGCCUGGCUUUCCUGUGUGCUUCCUGGGAUGGUUGAUCCAAGGCAGCAAUAGAGCUCUGUGUCCCAAAGCCACAUUGUGGAGCCUGACCAAUGUGUUUGCAUUCCUGCAGCCACACCGGGCACUUCAGCCCCCAGUGUUCCACCUGGUAGUGCUGGUUGUGCAGCAUUGACGGCCUCCAGCUCAGCAUGGAAUGCUGCUGCUGCGGAAGAGGAAUCACAGCUAGCCCUUGAAAUAGAAAAAAUGAUUCGGGAGAUCAGGAGAUCCCUGCCUCAAAGGUCUCCCUGUGCUCAGGGGGAUGUUAAUGUUGCCCCUGAGUCUUCAGGAGAGGAUGAUCUGACCAGGGCAGCAGCAGCAGAAGCUUCAUCUGGCACUAAGAGCUGUGGGAACAGCUCCCCAGAGCGUGAGAAGCCUGGUAAGGAGAGAGCCCCCAUUGGUUUAGAGAUGUGUGAGUCAGCUGCUCUGAGCCUGCCUCUGACAGGAAGGGAGAUCAGAAGAGUUGAGUUCUUUUGGUGUCUUCUGGUUUUCUGCAUUUUGCCUCAAGGGACAUUUUGUAAGAGCUUCAGUUUCAUCUUGGCCACCCAAAUCCUGAGUUUAAAAUGCUUGUCGUGUGAACUGUGCUCCCCCCCUGUGCUCCAUGUGCCCUGGGAGUGGAGAAGGAGAGUUCCAGUAUCCCUGAUACGAUUCCAAGAAAAUAGUGAGUGAUCUUUGGAUUUCUUUCUUUCUGUUUUUCUUUCAAGGGGAAUGUUAAUGUUGGCCCUGAGUCUUCAGGAGAGGAUGAUCUGACCAGGGCAGCAGCAGCAGAAGCUUCAUCUGGCACUAAGAGCUGUGGGAACAGCUCCCCAGAGCGUGAGAAGCCUGGUAAGGAGAGAGCCCCCAUUGGUCAGCAGCAGCAGAAGCUUCAUGUGACACCAAGAGCUGUGGGAACAGCUCCCCAGAGCAUGCGGAGCCUGGUAAGGAGAGAGCCCCCGUUGGUUUAGAGAGGUGUGAGAGCUGCUCUGAGCCUGCCUCUGACAGGAAGGGAGAUCAGAAGAGUUGAGUUCUUGUCUGCAGAGUUGGUGCUUCCCGGUGCCUUUAGUUCAGAUCCUGCUCUGACAAAACCUCCCCGAGCCCUGCCCUCCACACUUCUCCAGAGGCUCUGACACUGAGUCCUGCGCUAUGGCAA
rnacentral:lncRNA from 12 species